rnacentral:lncRNA from 1 species
AGUAGGGUCUGGGAAAUUUUAAGGUUUACAGUUUAUGCUAUCUCCCUAGAUAGAAUGUAAGCUCCAUAAGCACAGGGAUUCUUUUUUUUUUUUGUCUUUGUGGUUAUUCAAUCAUUUCAGUGUCUUCAAGGCACCAUUUAGGGUUUUCUUGGCAAAGAAACUGGAGUAAUUUUCUUCUCCAGCUCAAUUUACAAAUGAGGAUACUAAGGCAAACAAGGUUAAUCGACUUGCCCAGGGACUUGUAGCUAGAAAGUGCCUGAGGCCAGAUUUGAAUGUAGGAAGAUCAGUCUUCCUGAUUCCAAACUCAAUGCUCUAGUCAAUGUGCCACCUAGCUGCCCCUCAGUGACUCAUAUAUCAUAGUAUGUUACUUGCUUGAUACACCAGAAUAUAAAUAUAAAGAAAUCUAACUGAACAUGGAUUUGAGAGAAUGAGACUGAAAUAGACAGUGUGAAAGAAAUGGAAAAAGAAUAAGAGAAGGAGGGGCUAGACAGAGAGAGAGAAUGAGAGGAGAGAGGAGAGAGAGGGAGAGGAGGAAAGAGAGAACUGUUACCCAUUUUUAUUGUUUUUGUUCUGACAGAUGAUCUUGUUUUUUUCAGAAAAUGUCUUCUCCACAGAAAAUUUUGUAGUUAAGGAAAAGCCAGAGCUUAAUUAUCCUUUCCUGCUUCUCUCUCUCUCUCUCUCUCUCUCUCUCUCUCUCUCUCUCUCUCUCUCUCUCUCUCUCUCUCUCUCUCUCUCUUUCUCUCUUUCUCUCUCUCUCUCUCUCUCUCUCUCUUUCUCUCUCUUUCUUUCUUUCUCUCUUUGUUUCUCUGUUUUUCUUUGUUUCUUUCUCUCUCUUUCUCUCUCUUUCUUUCUUUCUUUCUUUCUUUCUUUCUUUCUUUCUUUCUUUCUUUCUUUCUUUCUUUCUUUCUUUCUUUCUUUCUUUCUUUCUUUCUUUCUUUCUUUCUUUCUUUCUUUCUUUCUUUCUUUCUUUCUUUCUUUCUUUCUUUCUUUCUUUCUUUCUUUCUUUCUCACUAUAGCAUGACAUAGAAGAGAAGGAUUUAGCCUUAGAGUCAGAAGAACCUAGCUUUAAGUUCUAACUCUCAUCUAAGACCCAGGGCCAAUCUCUCAACCUCUAAGUGCCCCAGGCAAUUCUCUAAGAUUAUCAGAUGUGUUAUAGUUACUUUAUGUUUAUAGGAGCAAUUUCCUUAUCUAGAAGACAUCCUCACUGAUGAAAUUAAUUAUAUAUGUGAACAAUACAAAAUAAAAACUUUUAUAACAUGUAAUGGAUAAUGAAC